GGCCGGGGCUGGCGGCGCUGAACAGUCGGGGGCAGUUAUUACGCCGUCUAGUCAUCCCAGCAACCGGUGACGCGGCCUGCAUGAGGCCGACCACUGGCCAGCCGGGGAGAGCGGGCCUGGAGCGGGACUCCCUACCCCGAGGCGCCUCCCAGCUCCCCCCACUCGGCGGCCGCGCGCUCCGCCAGCCCCUUCCUCCCUUCAACGCCCUAGUCCCGAAGUCCGGGAGGCGGGGGUCGGCGAGCCAGCUGAGUGGGAACCGCGUGGCGUACAAGGAGCCAGUCGGCGACCGAUUUCCUCCCAGGCAUAGACCCCUAUGCUUCCAGGGCAAACUCCAGCAUGGGGUGAGGUGCAGAAGAGAGACUUGAGGGGUGUACUCUGGCACUCAGUUACCAAACCUGCCCCCUAGAUCAGGGGUAUAGAACAUCCUGCUCCAAAGGCAUGAGAAGAGAACAUCCUGUAUUGGCCACUCCUGCCCAGUGUGGAGAGGAGCAAAACUCCAGAGCCCACCCCUGAAGGUUUGUGGCUUUCAAGGCUUUUUUUCAAUGGAUCCCAUUUAUGGGGUGUUUUAACCAGAGCUCUGGGUAUUUAUGAUGUUUCCAUCUACCAAUAAGAAAACUACUGCUAACCAUUUCAUUUGCUCCCUCUCCCUGACCUGUUGAGUGACACAGCCUAUAACUCUUAGCAACUAUAUCUAAUCUCCACUGAAUUUAGCUGGGACCAGUCCAGUAGCCUUGAGGAGAGUAGUCAGUGAUGAGGCCCACGGGAGGUUCUAUACAGAAAGGCUGAUCCUGCUCCCAGACCGCUACCUGGACCAACUUGUCAAGAGGAUUCAGGGAUAACAUUUGAGAUAAAGAGGAUAGCAGAUCAGAUCCCAUUCCCAUAAAGGGGCUUCUCUACUACUCUGGGUUCUCAGAUCCCUGGAGAUAGGGCAAUGAGAAAAGUCUGCAGAAUAUUUGCGAAGA